UACCAGCGACCCCGAGUGGUCGGGACGAUUAUUGGGCCUAAAAGCAUCCGUAGCCGGUCCUGCAAGUCCUCCGUUAAAUCCACCCGCUCAACGGUGGGCCGCGGGGGAUACUACAGGGCUAGGAGGCGGGGAGAGGGCAAGGCGGUACUCGAUGGGUGAGGGGAAAAGUCCAACUGAUCCAUUGAAGACCACCAGUCGGCGAA
rnacentral:rRNA from 1 species